rnacentral:lncRNA from 1 species
CGGGCGGCCUAAGCGUGCACCGGGGAAUUCCACCCACUGAGCUGCGAGCGUGCGGAGGGCGUGUCGCGUUCUUUGGGGGCGCCCGACGUUUGUCCUCCAUGAGGAUGCUCCAAUGCUACCUGGCUCGCUUGCACAGGUGAGGUGGAUGACAGCAAGGCGGCGGAACACAGGCCCAGGGGACCUGGCAGGGCGGUGUGUUCGGCGCGGGCCGCGACCCUCAGGCCCGGCUCGGGCGCCUCCAGCCCUCCGGGGCGACCGAAGGUCAGGGACGGAAGGGGUGCGGCGGGGGGUCCUGCCGCGUCCCCGCACCCUCCCGCCAGCCGUCGAAGCGGCAGGUGUCCCCUCGUCCUACCUCGGCUGGCACCGCGGCCCCCGCUUUCAGGUGAAGGAAGGCGGCUCCUCUUCGACUGCGCGGCGGGUCUCCUCCUUCCCCGUACCGGGACGCCCGAAAGCAGCCGCUCUCUGCCUCAGGUCUGCCACCAGCCCGGUUCCCGCGAACCGGAGGGAGGGGAGCCGCUCCAGGAAGUGACGUCACACCACGUCGCCGCCCCCGAAGGCUCGCGCUACAGUUGUUGGUCCCUAUCUCUGCAGCAGCCAGAACAAAUCUAAUUUCCUCGAGGGGAAUCGAUGGUUUUGUUCCACAGACUUUACUAUUAAAAGUGACUUCCUGAGAAAUGGAGCUACGAUAUCGAGUUUGCCAAGUAGGCGACACAAAGACUUCAAUUCCCAGGAGGCACUAGGCUUCCAACAGAAGGUGUGGCCCAGAUUAAAGGUCUGUAUUAAAGGCCCAUGUCAUCCACCGUCAAGACCCGGAUCAAAGACAUGUUGUCUUCCUGCUUCAAUUCUGGAUCACAGGGUUGCCUUCCAGAUCACUGGUCCUUAGGAAGGAGCAGCUCUAGCAGGAACUUGGUCUAUGCGCCUUGGCCUCAAGCUCAUAUCUGAUGGAAAGAAAGGUUUGUUGGAUGAAUAAAACCACAAGAUUUAAUCACCACAAAGUACCAUGGAUGAUGCUGUGCUCACCAACAUUCUCUUUCUCCGAACAUGCACCUCCCUGUGUAGCUUCUGUGAACUGCCUGGCAACUCUUCACUUUAAUACAG